rnacentral:lncRNA from 1 species
ACUGGGGAUGAGGGGUGAGCGUCCGGGCAGCAGGCGAGCCCCCAAGGGUGGCCCGCUGACACCGCUGGCGGCAAAAAUUUCUACAGCAGUUUCUCUUGAACCAGGCAGAAAACAACCCCUGAGGCUGCUCGGUGCUCCCUAGUCUCCUGGUUUGCAUUGCACAUCCAUUUUGAGCCUGCUGCUACUGAUGAGAAAAUGACCUCAAACAACUGCCCACUAAAGGUCCCAUGUUGUCACGAUGCC